UGAUAGUUUUCAACUGGCUGUGGGAGAGAGAGUCAAAGGAAAAAAAAAUGGGAUGUGCUGGUGCUUCUUGAAGGAAAAGGACUGAACUAGCUAUGAGAAAUUAUCUGGGUCAGCUGAAUUUCCUAGCAGAAGUGAUUGGAACUGAAGAACCCGAGACAGGUAUUUGGUUUAUUGUUUUUUAGACCUUUUACUGGAAGCUGUAGUGAAGGAGAAGCUGUUGGGAAGCAGCAGCCUGUACAUGAGCAACUCAGCGGCCCAUGUGUGGAUGCUGCCUGACACAGCAACUUUAGUACAUCCUCAGCUCCUUGUGCAUCACAGGUAUUUCUCAUCUCAUUCGAGCAACAGCUGAUUUCUUCUGAUGUUUGCUGGUAUGACAGCUAGAACAAAAGUGUUACAUCCCAAUUAUGCUUUAGAACACGAUGAAGAAGUAGAUAUUCUCCAAAGAGCAGCCCUGAUGCAGUGACUUCUGGCUGCACUUAGCAUAAACAUUGAACAGUUGUAGUACUCUAGACUCCCUUGAUUUAGUGAAAAAACUGACCUAUGUGAUCAGGAAAGCAG
ensembl:lncRNA